rnacentral:sRNA from 1 species
AGUCAAUGACUCAGGGUAGCCACUGAACAUGACGCUCGCAGUGGGUGCCACCUGGACUCCACUCUCCUCUCUCUCUGGGAUCAUAGAGUCCAAGGUGUUCUGUGGCCUCUCGGCCAGUCCCAGCAGCUCAGCGUGCAGAAGACCGAGGAGCCAUUGGUCAGUGCAGGAGGUGCCUGGCGUUUUGGAGAUGGGAUGCAGAGGUCUCUUCACACCGAAUGCCUCUUCCCCUCUUGUGCCAGCUUGAUGCUGACUUCAUUAUGUUUGGGCUGCUGGGCCCAUGGGAGGAGAAAGGCUGGGGGAAUUCAACACAACAUGAAAUAAUCGACAAAUUCGGGGAAUGUUAAUCUGACCAUUCCCAGUUACAAAUGAUGUUUCAUGCUACCUUCUAUUCCUGCCUUCAUAAAUCAAGCUCUAAAUCUCCAGGAAAAAAUGCGCUAAGAUCGCCAGUGAAAUGUCCUUCCAACUGUGGAUGGAAAGGUAUGAUUUUGUGCAGCAGAUAAGGGACUGGCUAGAGUAAGUGUGUGCUGAGCUUUUGUGUUUGAAAGCGAGCCUGUGCACUUCUAACGACUGGAAGGUUUCCUUGCCUUCUCCGAUCUUACACACAGCAAGGACAGCAAAGCCUUCCAGACCUGCCUGUGACAUGCACUGCACAUUCUAAAGAUGCCUGUGCAAUGGAAAACACCACUGUCUCCUCCAGCACAGCUGCCAUUCUUCCAUCUUAUCGACCUUAAUGCAACAACUCCACACAGGCAGAGAUUUUAAAAUGUGUUCUUGGCAGAAGAGAGACUCAAAGAUGGGACAAAUGGGUCAUUUAAAUGCCUGUUAAAAUGGAACGGACAUAGUAUAGUCAGAGGAUUGUGGCAGCUAAG